GUCACAAGUACAAGUGCAGACUUACCAGUGCCCAUGCCUCAACCUGGGCCUUCUACGGAACAAAUGCAUACGGAGCACGCAUAUCCAUUACCAGCUGAAGUUACACCUGACAGUAGGAUUUCUGAGCUGGGAACCCAGGUGGAAUCAUUACGUAGAAAGCUCAAGAACACAAAGGCCAGAGAGAAGAGGGCAAAAGAAACGACCCAAUCAUUGCUGAAGGAGUUGGAAGAAAAAAAUCUGAUAAAUGCAGAGCUUGAGGUUCGCCUGGAAUCUUACAAAGACAUACCAUGUGACCUCUUCCAAAAACCAACAAAGGAGUAUAGUGCUGCACAGAAAAACUUUGCCCUAACAUUACACCUCUACUCAAGCAAGGCGUACAGGUACACCAGAGAGACGAAGGGAAUCAACCUUCCUGAGCCGCGUACG